rnacentral:rRNA from 1 species
AGUGAACGCUGGCGGCAGGCCUAACACAUGCAAGUCGAACGGCAGCACAGAGGAGCUUGCUCCUUGGGUGGCGAGUGGCGGACGGGUGAGGAAUGCGUCGGAAUCUGCCUAUUUGUGGGGGAUAACGUAGGGAAACUUACGCUAAUACCGCAUACGACCUACGGGUGAAAGUGGGGGACCUUCGGGCCUCACGCAGAUAGAUGAGCCGACGCCGGAUUAGCUAGUUGGCGGGGUAAAGGCCCACCAAGGCGACGAUCCGUAGCUGGUCUGAGAGGAUGAUCAGCCACACUGGGACUGAGACACGGCCCAGACUCCUACGGGAGGCAGCAGUGGGGAAUAUCGGACAAUGGGCGCAAGCCUGAUCCAGCCAUGCCGCGUGUGUGAAGAAGGCCUUCGGGUUGUAAAGCACUUUUGUCCGGAAAGAAAUCCAAUCGAUUAAUACUCGGUUGGGAUGACGGUACCGGAAGAAUAAGCACCGGCUAACUUCGUGCCAGCCGCCGCCGAAAUAC